AUUGAACGCUGGCGGCAGGCCUAACACAUGCAAGUCGAACGGUAGCACAGAGAGCUUGCUCUCGGGUGACGAGUGGCGGACGGGUGAGUAACGUCUGGGAAACUGCCCGAUGGAGGGGGAUACCUACUGGAAACGGUAGCUAAUACCGCAUAACGUCGCAAGACCAAAGAGGGGGACCUUCGGGCCUCUUGCCAUCAGAUGUGCCCAGAUGGGAUUAGCUAGUAGGUGGGGUAACGGCUCACAUAGGCGACGAUCCCUAGCUGGUCUGAGAGGAUGACCAGCCACACUGGAACUGAGACACGGUCCAGGCUCCUACGGGGGGCAGCAGUGGGGAAUAUUGCACAAUGGGCGCAAGCCUGAUGCAGCCAUGCCGCGUGUAUGAAGAAGGCCUUCGGGUUGCAAAGUACUUUCAGCGGGGAGGAAGGCGAUAAGGUUAAUAACCUUGUCGAUUGACGUUACCCGCAGAAGAAGCACUGGCUAACUCCGUGCCAGCCGCCGCGGUAA
rnacentral:rRNA from 1 species